rnacentral:rRNA from 1 species
AGCUCCAAUAGCGUAUAUUAAAGUUGUUGCAGUUAAAAGCUCGUAGUUGGAUUUCUGGUCGGAUAGCGUUGCCCUCAAGUUGAGUGUGCAAAGCCGUCCGUCCAUCCUUCUGUUAACUCUUAAGGCUUUUGCGGUCUUCUGAGGGCUCAGAUAUUUUACCUUGAGAAAAAUUAGAGUGUUUCAGGCAGGCUAGCGCCGGAAUACAUUAGCAUGGAAUAAUAGAAUAGGACUUUUGCCUCUUCUGUUGGUCUAAGGGGUUCAAGUAAUGAUUAAUAGGGAUAGUUGGGGGCAUUAGUACUUAACUGUCAGAGGUGAAAUUCUCGGAUUUGUUAAAGACUAACUUAUGCGAAAGCAUUUGCCAAGGAUGUUUUCAUUAAUCAAGAACG